GACGAACGCUGGCGGCGCGCUUAACACAUGCAAGUCGAGCGAGAACCUGGGCUUCGGCCCUGGGGACAGCGGCGAACGGGUGAGUAACACGUGGGUAAUCUGCCCUUGACAUCGGGAUAGCCCGGGGAAACCCGGAUUAAUACCGAAUAGCCUCCGGAGCCUUCGGGCGCCGGAGAAAAGGUAGCUUCGGCCUCCGGUCAAGGAUGAGCCCGCGGCGGAUUAGCUUGUUGGCGGGGUAACGGCCCACCAAGGCGACGAUCCGUAGCUGGUCUGAGAGGACGAUCAGCCACACUGGGACUGAGACACGGCCCAGACUCCUACGGGAGGCAGCAGUGGGGAAUCUUGCGCCAAUGCGGGAAACCGUGACGCAGCGACGCCGCGUGGGGGAAGAAGGCCUUCGGGUUGUAAACCUCUUUCAGGAGGGACGAAGCCACUCGGGUUAAUAGCCCAGAGGGUGACGGUACCUCCAGAAGAAGCCCCGGCUAACUACGUGCCAGCAGCCGCAGUAAAAC
rnacentral:rRNA from 1 species